CCCCCAGGGCCUCCCAGGAGAGGGGACUGUUCAUCUCGAGGUGGCACCUGGGCUGGCUGUGGGACCAUGGCGCUGCUCCGGGAACCUGUGGGAGCCUGGCUGGCCCUGGCCCUGGCCCUGGCCCUGGCCUUGGGCCUGAGCAUGGGUGCGGCCGCUCCGAGGCAGGAUUGCACGGGCGUCGAGUGCCCGCCGCUGGAGAACUGCAUCGAGGAGGCGCUGGAGCCAGGUGCCUGCUGCGCCACGUGCGUGCAGCAGGGCUGCGCCUGUGAGGGCUACCAGUACUACGACUGCUUGCAGGGCGGCUUUGUGCGAGGCCGCGUGCCCGCCGGCCAGUCCUACUUUGUGGACUUCGGCAGCACUGAGUGCUCCUGCCCACCGGGUGGCGGCAAGAUCAGCUGCCAGUUCAUGCUGUGCCCAGAGCUGCCGCCCAACUGCAUCGAGGCCGUGGUGGCAGCCGACAGCUGCCCGCAGUGUGGCCAGGUGGGCUGUGUCCACACUGGCCGCAAGUACGCUGCCGGCCACACCAUCCACCUGCCGCCCUGCCGGGCUUGCCACUGUCCUGACACCGGGGGCGAGCUCAUCUGCUACCAGCUCCCCGGUUGCCAUGGAGACACUGAGGCCAUGCCAGCUGCCUCCACCGGGAACUUCUCAGAUGCCGAGGAGGGUGACCCUGAGCGACACUAUGAAGACCCCUACAGCUACGACCAGGAGGUGGCUGAGGUGGAAGCUGCGGCGGCCCUGGCGGGCGAGCUCCAGGCUGGCGCAGGGGGCCCAGCUGCUCUGGGAGGCGGGAUUCGGCCACCAUCAGCCAUCCAGGCCACCCCUUGGCCGGCUUCCCUCCCCAGGCCCACAGUGGCUACUGCCUUGGGUCCCCCGGCCCCCAUGCAGGCCAAAGCCACGAGAGUGAUGGAGGACAGCCAGGAGGAAGGAGAGGAGGAGAGGGAGGAGUUGACGGUCAGGGAGCGGCCGGCAGCAGGUGGCCCCAAGGGGCUGGAUGGGCCACCCACCACACGCCCACCUGGGCCUGGUCUCCCUGUCCAAGAGGAGGUGGCAGAGGCCAGGGCAGGACCCGAAGAGAAUCUCAUCCCGGACGCCCAGGCCACUCCCCGCAGCACUGGGCAGGAGGGAGCUGGGCCCAUUCUACAAUCAAGCACGGCCAGUGUCCUCCCGUUGCAGGCCACACUGAGCUCUCCUGGGGGCCCAGUGGAGCCCAGCACCCAUACCAUCCUGACUGCAUCUCCGCACAAGGCAGCUCUGCUUCCACCCACCAAGGAAGGGCCCAAGCAGUCGCUGGUUCUACCCCGUCCUCGGCCAGACGAGGACACAGACCCCAACUCUGUCCAUUCUGUCCCCAGAGGUGACUCUGAAGUGUCCACGAAGGACCUGAUUGAGACGUGCUGCGCAGCUGGGCAGCAGUGGGCCAUUGACAAUGACGAGUGUCUGGAAAUCCCUGAGAGCGGCGCCGAGGGCGACGUCUGCAGGACAGCCCAGAAGCACUGCUGCCUGUCGUACUUGAAGGAGAAGAGCUGCAUGGCUGGCGUCGUGGGGGCCAAGGAUGGCGAGGCCUGUGGGGCCGAGGACAUCGACACCUGUGGCGUCUCCCUGUACAAGCAAUGCUGUGACUGCUGUGGCCUGGGACUCCGCGUGCGGGCCGAGGGCCAGUCGUGUGAGUCUAACCCCAACCUGGGCUACCCCUGCAACCACGUCAUGCUCUCCUGCUGUGAGGGUGAAGACCCCCUCAUUGUGCCCGAUGUCCGCCGGCCUCCAGAGCCCGAGGCUGUACCACAGAGAGUUUCCGAGGCAGAGUUGGUGAACCGGGAGGCCCUGUCGCUGGGCACGGAGACCGAGCUGCCCAACAGCCUGCCUGGUGAUGACCAGGAUGAGUGCCUGCUCCUCCCGGGGGAGCUGUGCCAGCACCUCUGCAUCAACACCGUGGGCUCCUACCGCUGUGCCUGCUUUCCCGGUUUCUCCCUGCAGGAUGAUGGCCGCACCUGCCGCCCAGAAGGUGACCCCCCGCAGCCGGAGGCAGCAGAGGAGUCUGCACUGAGGCCGGAAUCCUCCCAAAUGGCCCCCAACACCAUCCCGCUACCACUGCCACAGCCCAACACGUGCAAAGACAACGGGCCCUGCAAGCAGGUGUGCAGCGUCAUUGGGGACACAGCCAUGUGCUCCUGCUUUCCUGGCUAUGCCAUCAUGGCAGACGGCGUGUCCUGUGAAGACCAAGACGAGUGCCUGCUGGGUGCUCACGAUUGUAGCCGGCGACAGUUCUGUGUGAACACCCUGGGAUCCUUCUACUGUGUCAACCACACAGUGCUCUGUGCUGAGGGCUUUAUCCUCAGCGUGCACAGGAAGUGCGUGGACAUCAACGAGUGUGUGACGGACCUGCACACGUGCAGCCGCGGCGAGCACUGCGUCAACACGGUGGGCUCCUUCCACUGCUACAAGGCCCUCACCUGCGAGCAGGGCUACGCCCUCCAGGACGGCGAGUGCGCGGACGUGGAUGAGUGUGAGCAGGGCACGCACAACUGCCAGGCGGGCUUCACGUGCCAGAACACCAAAGGCUCCUUCUACUGCCAGGCGAGGCAGCGCUGCAUGGAGGGCUUCCUGCAGGACCCCGAGGGCAACUGUGUGGACAUCAAUGAGUGCACGUCGUUGUCCGAGCCGUGUCAGCCUGGUUUCAGCUGCAUCAACACGGUGGGCUCCUACACGUGCCAGAGGAACCCGCUGCUCUGCGGGCAUGGCUACCACGCCAGCCCAGAUGGGACCAAGUGUGUGGACGUGAACGAGUGUGAGGCUGGCGUGCACCACUGUGGCGAGGGCCAGGUAUGCCACAACCUCCCCGGCUCCUACCGCUGCGACUGCAAAGCCGGCUUCCAGCGGGACGCCUUUGGCCGGGCCUGCAUUGACGUGAACGAGUGCUGGACCUCGCCUGGACGCCUGUGCCAACACACCUGCGAGAACACUCGUGGCUCCUACCGCUGUUCCUGCGCCUCCGGCUUCCGGCUGGCUGCUGACGGCAAGCACUGCGAAGACGUGAACGAGUGCGAGGCCCAACGCUGCAGCCAGGAGUGUGCCAACAUCUAUGGCUCCUACCAGUGCUACUGCCGCCAGGGCUACCAGCUGGCCGAGGACGGGCACACCUGCACAGACAUCGAUGAGUGCAUUCAGGGCGCCGGCAUCCUCUGCACCUUCCGCUGUGUCAACGUGCCAGGGAGCUACCAGUGUGCAUGCCCGGAGCGGGGCUACACCAUGAUGGCCAAUGGGAGGUCCUGCAAGGACCUGGAUGAGUGCGCACUGGGCACCCACAACUGCUCCGAGGCCGAGACCUGCUAUAACAUCCAGGGUGGCUUCCGCUGCCUGCGCUUUGAGUGUCCCCCCAACUACGUGCGAGUCUCAGAAACGAAGUGCGAGCGCGCCACGUGCCACGACUUCGUGGAGUGCCAGAACUCGCCGGCGCGCAUCACCUACUACCAGCUCAGCUUCCAGACGGGCUUCCUCGUGCCGGCGCACAUCUUCCGCAUCAGCCCCGUGCCCGCCUUCGCGGGGGACACCAUCGCCCUGACCAUCACCAAGGGCAACGAGGAGGGCUACUUCGGCACGCGCAGGCUCAACGCCUACACGGGCGUCGUCUACCUGCAGCGGGCGGUGCGCGAGCCCCGGGACUUCGCCCUGGACGUGGAGAUGAAGCUCUGGCGGCAGGGCUCCGUCACCACCUUCCUGGCCAAGAUGCACAUCUUCUUCACCGCCUUUGCCGUGUGAGGUGCCCGACUGUCUCCCGGGGCUGCGCCCGUCGCGUCCCGGCGCCGCCGCCCGCACAGCGCUUUCCGCGGUCGCUCAACCCCGCGUGGGUGGGGCCGGGGUAUCCUGGCGGUUUUUACUCUAACUCUGUCAAUUAACUUAAUUUUGCUGACUCGGUUCCUGGGCCUCUCCUCCGCCCCGCCCCGCAGAGGGAGCUUGGCAGCCGGAGGUGUGUGGAAGCUUUCAGGGCAAUUCAAGGUCAG